GCCAGCUAGGCGGAAGGAUCUUUCAUCUGCUGCUGGCCGGGGCGCUUUGGCUUUGCGCCAUGGAUAUAAAGCGAUCAACUGAUAUGCGUUCGACAUGUCGGCAUUGCACACUACGGAGUACCAGCUUGCAGCGAAGCCGCUUUGCGUAGCCUCUGACCCGUCACCGGCCUCAUCGAUCAGCAGCAUGUGUUGUUAACUUUCGUUAUCCGCGGGCCCCCCAGAUACGUGGAGUAUUGUCUCGGCCAGCACGGAGCAUCGAAACGUCAAGGGCAAGAACGUAACAAGAAUUUGUGGCCUCAGAGAAUGAGAGGGACGCGGCCGGCACGGGCGCGGAUUGGCAGGCGGCGCCGGCCGGCGUAGGCGAGGCGGCGGCCCGUCCGAAGCGGGCCGAGAGGCGGCGAUGGACGGUGGGGGCUGGAGGGUCCCGGCGGCGGCCAGCACUGGCAUGGGGCGGGAGGCUGUAGGCGGCGCGGGCUGAGAGGCGACGGCAGUUGGCGUGGACGAGGAGGGCGGCAGGAUCGGGAGAAGAGAAACGGCGAAAUUGGGAGAAACUGGGUCUCGUGAGGAAGAGAAAUUUUGUUUUACUAUUAUAAUAAUGCGAAAUGUCUAAACUACCUUUCUCUAAUACUCCGUCUGAUCUAUGUUCCUGUAUGGAAAUUUGUUAUAGGAACUUAGGACCACACUACUGUUUCACGUGAAAACACAAGUGCAAAUCAUGUGUGCCCAAGCGACCGUUCGGGACGGAAACACUCCCCGGUUCCGUCGUGUGCCAUA